AUACGUAGGGUGCGAGCGUUGUCCGGAAUUACUGGGCGUAAAGAGCUCGUAGGUGGUUUGUCGCGUCGUCUGUGAAAUUCCGGGGCUUAACUCCGGGCGUGCAGGCGAUACGGGCAUAACUUGAGCACUGUAGGGGAGACUGGACUUCAUGGUGUAGCGGUGCAAUGCGCAGAUAUCAGGAGGAACACCGGUUGCGAAGGCGGGUCUCUGGGCAGUAACUGACGCUGAGGAGCGAAAGCAUGGGUAGCGAACAGGAUUAGAUACUCUGGUAGUCCAUGCCGUAAACGGUGGGCGCUAGGUGUAGGGGUCUUCCACGACUUCUGUGCCGUAGCUAACGCAUUAAGCGCCCCGCCUGGGGAGUACGGCCGCAAGGUUGAAACUCAAAGGAAUUGACGGGG
rnacentral:rRNA from 1 species